AGGCUAGUAGCUCAACUGGCAGAGCAGCGGUCUCCAAAACCGCAGGUUGUGGGUUCGAGUCCCUCCUAGCCUGCCA
rnacentral:tRNA from 1 species